GCUGAGAGCGCAUGCGCUGUACAUUCAUUCGAGGAAGUGGUAGAAGAGGCGACUCAAACGACGUAGAGGAGUUUGUUGCUUUUUCUCUGUUCAGAGUGGACAAACCGGCCCGCAGCCUCAAAAUGUCGGGAUUUGAUAGCAACCCGUUCGCAGAGCCUGCCAAUGACAACCCUUUCAAUGACCCUUCGGUCACACAGGUGACCACCUCCAACAUGGAGCCAGUUGACCAGUACAACCCUUUCCCUGCCCAUCCCACAGACAAGCUAGCUUCUCAUACCACUCCAGCCUCCACCGCUCCCUACCAGCCUGCUGUGUUACAGCCAUCUACAGAGCCCAGUCCGCAGGCGACUGCUGCUGCAGCUCAGGCCAAUCUGUUGAGGCAGCAGGAAGAGCUGGAGAGAAAAGCUGCCGAGCUGGACCGCAGAGAGCAGGAAAUACAGAGCAGAGGCCCGACAGGUAAAGAGAACAACUGGCCUCCACUUCCCAAGAGCUUCCCAAUCAAACCAUGUUUCUAUCAGGACUUCUCAGAAGAAAUCCCCCCAGAGUCCCAGAGAGUCUGCAAGAUGAUAUACUAUCUCUGGAUGUUCAGCUGUGUGACUCUGUUCCUCAACCUGCUGGCCUGUUUGGCCUUCUUCAUCACUGAUGCAUCCUAUGGUGUGGAUUUUGGUCUCUCCAUUCUCUGGCUCAUCCUCUUUACUCCCUGCUCCUUCCUCUGCUGGUACCGGCCCGUCUACAAGGCCUUCAGGACUGACAGCUCCUUCAGCUUCUUCUUCUUCUUCUUUGUGUUUUUCUGCCAAGUGGUGAUCUUCAUCAUCCAGGCUGUAGGCAUCCCCAAGUGGGGCAACAGACUUUUCAUCCUUCCUCUAGCCUGCUGCCUAUCUAUUGCCUGCUGGCUACUCUUGGUUGGAUCACUGCCUUCACUGCCAUGAGUGUAAACAAAGCAGUGGGAGCCAUCAUGAUGAUAGUGGCCGUCCUCUUCACUAUCUGCGCUGUGCUGUCAGUCAUUCUGCUCAAGAUGGUCCACAGCGGGUACCGCCGGACCGGGGCCAGUUUCCAGCAGGCGCAGCAGGAAUUCUCGCAGGGCGUCUUCUCCAGUAGAACCUUCCAAACAGCCGCUGCUGGAGCAGCAUCCUCGGCUGCACAGGGAGCCUUCCAGAGAAACUAACUAAUGGAAGAACGAGCAAAGCUCAAUACAACAGGUCAUGGUCUAUAUGUUAUCAGGUCUAGAUGAUUCAGUAAAAAAAGAAAGAAAGCCGAAUGAAUCAGGAAGUUGAGGCUCAUUCGUAAAGUUUUUUGUGACUUUGGAAACUGGUCUUUUGGAGCUGGAGGCUGUAUAAUCUAACCUUAUAAUGUAUGGACCUUGAGCUAGGUGAGGCUAUGUUAUUAGCCUCCCUCCUUCCACCCCAACUAUCAAUGCACAUGUAGUUUCCCAUGUUAACUUUGCUUCUCAUGUUCAACAUGUUUCCUGCAAAGUGUCGGCUCUGUUUCUAAAAAGCAGCUGAGGGGAAAGUCCCAUUAAGUGCAUUCUGGGGUGGAAAGCAUGAAUGAAGUUGAUUGAUAUGCUAUUUCAGUUUGUCCUGGCUUUGUAUAUUUUGUAUGCACUUUUUUGGCGAUGCUCCUCAGUGUAAUGUGUGCGUGCGUGCGUGUGUAUGUGUGUGUACUGGCAUGCUGAUCACGUCUUCAUGUGAGUGCAGUACACUUUGUUUCUCCACAUUGCUAUUGGAUCCUGUAAUAUAAAUAAGAAUAAGUGUUUCUGCAUUUUUUUUUGUCUCAGAGGCAUUUCUAAGUUGUUGAACCUAUUUCGACAAAACAAGUGUGCAACAAAAUUUCAGUCUAAUAAGGAAGAAAUGUAAAAGGUAAAUCAUGCAGUUUACUGUAAUCUGCCUGGCGGUAGAUUUUGGGAUGUUACUGUAACUAUUCAUUUAAAUCUGUGGUUAAUUAUUCAAUAAGAAAAAAUACUCAAACUGACCCCACAUCACUUUCAGAUUGUAGUACUGUGUUUUCAAAACAUGUGCCUUUGACUUUUGUCUGGAGCCGAACUUUUGCAAAGAUUGUUCUGAAAAACUGCUGUGGUGUCAGAAAAUAAGUGGAAAUACUGUAUAUUUGGUAUCACAUGAAACGGUUUCUACAUGAAGAUCACAUCUAAGAGGAAGUUAAAGGGUUUUGCUUCAACUAAUGUCAUGCUUUAAAUUUCUACUGUAGUUAAGAAUACAGAGUAAAUAAUUUGAUUUCACUUGAGGCGUAAUUUGUACUUAUUAAUACGUAUUAAAGCAUCAGAUAUGUUUCUUAUCAUAAAUAUAAUUAUGAAGCAUCUUCAACUUCUUCUUUGAUCACGACCUUUCAACAGUUGUUUCUAAGGAAACCAAAACAUUACUGAUUCUAUUGAAAAUGGAACAUUUUGCUAAUAGAAUGUAAUAAAGCUAGACUGACACCAGUUCAUACAGUUUGGUUUUAUGGGCUGAGCCUAUUCUAUUGAUUACACAACUAACAGUGAAUGCAAGAGGAGGAACAGUUUAUUUUUCAUGAAGAUUAACGGUGUACAAAUGUACCCAUAUUCAGCUCUAAUGAGGUUUGACAGGAGAAGCAGGACCUAAAUCAGAUUUCACUGAUGUGUAUCUAAUUUAAAAUGUCUACUACAGCGGUGUGAUCUUACCAUAAGUUAACACUUACCUUCCUUUGAAGAAAACCAGUGUCAACAUCUCCAGUAUGCAGCUACGGUAUUGCAUGUCCACCUUUUCAUAUAGAUUGUUUUACUUCUUGAAAGAAUUUCAAAUCAUCCUAGUACCUCUUUAAAACAACCACAAAGCUCUAAAUUAUUUGUGUACCGAUGUAUAUUUUCUAUGUGAUUUCUUAUAUUAGAACACAUGCUUAUGUGUUUAUUUGAUGUAUUGUUUUAAAAUGUCAGCUUGGAUGUAACACAUUUUAGCAUUCCUGGAAAACAACUGCAAACUUCAAUCCUCAGUGUGAUGUUCUUGCAACAGACAGCGGUUUAAUUUAAGCUUACAUUGAUUAUAUAAUUACAAGACUUGUAUGAAUUCACACAUCGCUGUAUGCAUUGUUUUGAGAGAACAGAAUCCAGUGCCUUUUGUAUUUCAAUAUUGAAUAUAGCAUCUAUUAAAAUGCUUGGCUUUCAUUCAA